rnacentral:rRNA from 1 species
UACGGGGGGAGCAAGCGUUGUUCGGAUUUACUGGGCGUAAAGGGCGCGUAGGCGGCCAGCACAAGUCAGUUGUGAAAUCUCCGGGCUUAACUCGGAAAGGUCAACUGAUACUGUGCGGCUAGAGUGCAGAAGGGGCAACUGGAAUUCUCGGUGUAGCGGUGAAAUGCGUAGAUAUCGAGAGGAACACCUGCGGCGAAGGCGGCGUUCUGGACUGCAACUGACACUGAAAGACGAAAGCCAGGGAGCAAACGGG